AGAGUUUGAUCAUGGCUCAGAACGUACGCUGGCGGCACGCCUAACACAUGCAAGUCGAACGAAGUAGCAAUACUUAGUGGCAGACGGGUGAGUAACAUGUAGGUAUCUGCCCUUUGGCCUGGAAUAACACGAGGAAACUUGUGCUAAUACCGGAUAAGUCUUUACGGAGAAAGCUUUAUGCACCAUUGGAUGAGCCUGCACUUGAUUAGUUUGUUGGUGGGGUAAUGGCCUACCAAGACUGUGAUCAAUAGCUGAUUUGAGAGGAUGAUCAGCCACAUUGGGACUGAGACACGGCCCAAACUCCUACGGGAGGCAGCAGUGGGGAAUCUUGCACAAUGGAGGAAACUCUGAUGCAGCGAUGCCGCGUGAGUGAAGAAGGCCCUUGGGUUGUAAAGCUCUUUCGUCGGGGAAGAAAAUGACUGUACCCGAAUAAGAAGGUCCGGCUAACUUCGUGCCAGCAGCCGCGGUAAUACGAAGGGACCUAGCGUAGUUCGGAAUUACUGGGCUUAAAGAGUUCGUAGGUGGUUGAAAAAGUUGGUGGUGAAAUCCCAGAGCUUAACUCUGGAACUGCCAUCAAAACUUUUCAGCUAGAGUAUGAUAGAGGAAAGCAGAAUUUCUAGUGUAGAGGUGAAAUUCGUAGAUAUUAGAAAGAAUACCAAUUGCGAAGGCAGCUUUCUGGAUCAUUACUGACACUGAGGAACGAAAGCAUGGGUAGCGAAGAGGAUUAGAUACCCUCGUAGUCCAUGCCGUAAACGAUGUGUGUUAGACGUUGGAAAUUUAUUUUCAGUGUCGCAGCGAAAGCGAUAAACACACCGCCUGGGGAGUACGACCGCAAGGUUAAAACUCAAAUGAAUUGACGGGGACCCGCACAAGUAGUGGAGCAUGUGGUUUAAUUCGAAGAUACGCGCAGAACCUUACCAACACUUGACAUGUUCGUCGCGACUCUAAGAGAUUAGAGUUUUCGGUUCGGCCGGACGAAACACAGGUGCUGCAUGGCUGUCGUCAGCUCGUGUCGUGAGAUGUUGGGUUAAGUCCCGCAACGAGCGCAACCCUCACUUUUAGUUGCCAUCAUUUAGUUGGGCACUCUGAAAGAACUGCCAGUGAUAAGCUGGAGGAAGGUGGGGAUGACGUCAAGUCCUCAUGGCCCUUACGUGUUGGGCUACACACGUGCUACAAUGGUAUCUACAACAGGAAGCAAGACGGCGACGUCAAGCAAAUCCUUAAAAGAUACCUCAGUUCGGAUUGCACUCUGCAACUCGAGUGCAUGAAGCUGGAAUUACUAGUAAUCGUGGAUCAGCGUGCCACGGUGAAUGCGUUCCCGGGUCUUGUACACACCGCCCGUCACACCAUGGGAGUUGGUUCUACCUUAAGGCAAGGUUUUAAACCCUUGACCACGGUAUAGUCAGCGACUGGGGUGAAGUCGUAACAAGGUAGCCGUAGGGGAACCUGCGGCUG
rnacentral:rRNA from 1 species